rnacentral:rRNA from 1 species
UACGUAGGCAGCGAGCGUUGUUCGGAGUUACUGGGCGUAAAGGGUGUGUAGGCGGUUGCUUAAGUUUGGUGUGAAAUCUCCCGGCUCAACUGGGAGGGUGCGCCGAAUACUGAGUGACUCGAGUGCGGGAGAGGAGAGUGGAAUUCCUGGUGUAGCGGUGAAAUGCGCAGAUAUCAGGAAGAACACCAAUGGCGAAAGCAGCUCUCUGGGACGGUACUGACGCUGAGACGCGAAAGCGUGGGGAGCGAACAGG